UACAGAGGUCUCAAGCGUUGUUCGGAUUCAUUGGGCGUAAAGGGUGCGUAGGCGGCGCGGUAAGUCGGGUGUGAAAUCUUGGAGCUUAACUCCGAAACUGCAUUCGAUACUGCCGUGCUUGAGGACUGGAGAGGAGACUGGAAUUUACGGUGUAGCGGUGAAAUGCGUAGAUAUCGUAAGGAAGACCAGUGGCGAAGGCGGGUCUCUGGACAGUUCCUGACGCUGAGGCACGAAGGCCAGGGGAGCAAA
rnacentral:rRNA from 1 species